rnacentral:rRNA from 1 species
CACGUAGGCACCAAGCGUUGUCCGGAUUUAUUGGGCGUAAAGAGCUCGUAGGCGGUUCGGUAAGUCGGGUGUGAAAACUUUGGGCUUAACCCAAAGACUGCACUCGAUACUGCUGUGACUUGAGUCCGGUAGGGGAGUGGGGAAUUCCUGGUGUAGCGGUGGAAUGCGCAGAUAUCAGGAGGAACACCGGUGGCGAAGGCGCCACUCUGGGCCGGUACUGACGCUGAGGAGCGAAAGCGUGGGGAGCGAACAGG